rnacentral:rRNA from 1 species
GUAGGUGGCAAGCGUUGUCCGGAAUUAUUGGGCGUAAAGCGCGCGCAGGCGGUCCUUUAAGUCUGAUGUGAAAGCCCACGGCUCAACCGUUGAGGGUCAUUGGAAACUGGGGGACUUGAGUACAGAAGAGGAAAGCGGAAUUCCACGUGUAGCGGUGAAAUGCGUAGAGAUGUGGAGGAACACCAGUGGCGAAGGCGGCUUUCUGGUCUGUAACUGACGCUGAGGCGCGAAAGCGUGGGGAGCAAACGGGGGAUUAGAUACCCUGGUAGUCCACGCCGUAAACGAUGAGUGCUAAGUGUUAGGGGGUUUCCCGCCCCUUAGUGCUGCAGCUAACGCAUUAAGCACUCCGCCUGGGGAGUACGGCCGCAAGGCUG